CAGCUUUUUGUUUACAUUCAACAUGACGGCUACCGAAGCCGUGCUUCACGUGCUCGGCGACCCGCAGGGAGCCUUGGACGAGAGCUUCCCCUCAGGUCAAUCCACUCCUGCAGGGAUAAGCCUCGCUUUCCUCUGUAUCUGCCCUCGGGACUGAAUCUCUAAUCUGGAUCUCUUCCUUCUCGACUGGAGGCAAAAUUGCUAUGCUUCAAGACCCACAUCUGACCCAGCCAAUCAUGCUGAGCAGUGGGAGGCCGGAGGUUGAGUCUGCUAGCUACUGUAUGAAGUGGGCUU